CAGAUUCUUCUUCUCUGUCUCUUCUCUAUCUCUCUUCUCUCUAAGAAUCUCUCAACCCUAGAAACGUUACACGGCCGCCGUAACCUUCCAUCCAGUGCUCGCGGUGGCUUCGACCGAUCGGCGUCCGGGGUAGAGGCUAGGGUGUCGGCAAGAAGACGGUUGGUGCACCGUUGGGGCCAGCGAGCAAUGAGGUGCUGUUUGAACACGCCAAUCGAAAGGCAAAAUGGGCAGAAUUCUUAACGCUAAGGGAAGUCACAAAACAGUGGUAGGCGCCUGGUGUUCUGUCUUGAAUUCCAGGGAAAAAUCGAAGAGAUUGGGACUGUGGUGGGCAUUUCAUCAAGCCAUGAUGAGAGGUUUGCUUGGUUUGAGAAGCGAAUGGAUACGGACCUGGAGAGUUCAGACCACGUUGGCACGUCAACGAUAGAUAUGGUAACCUUACCUCAUCUCUCAAAUAAUUGUCACCCAUGAUCUAACACCAUAAAACUGCUACCUGGCUGUUUAUUUUGCCAAUACUGCACAAGGGGACCUACCAUAUGAUGAGUGUAAGCUUCAAGCAUCUCCGGUUUGACAUUAUUGACAGCUCGUCUACAAAGAAGUCGAACAAAGACAUGUACGGUGGCGCACCAGAGGAGUUGAUCAUUAUGCUGGCCAUUUAUCUAGACAGCAAACACCAAACACUACGUGCGGAUCGGAGACCAAAAAGGAUGCACCAUUCCAUUUCGACUGUUGAUUCCGGGAUAUUUACGAUGCGGCACAUGGAACUGUGGACUCGUACAACUUGUUAACCUACGUAAGCGCUUCAUGCACCUCAGCAAGGUCAAUACACAUACUGAGCGCAUUCGUCGGGGAGUUUGAUUGCCAGAGAGUAACGCAGAUGCGUCAAUGUAGCGGCAUCCAACACAAUAACAAACUACCAGCCCGAGACAUUACCCGCCAGUAAUUUACAUUUUGCAAUGCAGCACCACUUACCAGUUUCUUUUGUUCCCCAAACUCUAGUUUAUGAUUGUAUAGUUACCGGGUUUUAAUA